AUACGGAGGAUCCGAGCGUUAUCCGGAUUUAUUGGGUUUAAAGGGUGCGCAGGCGGCCAUUUAAGUCAGCGGUUAAAUCGUGGGGCUCAACCCCAUUCUGCCGUUGAUACUGGGUGGCUUGAUUGUGGUCGAGGUUGGCGGAAUUCGUUGUGUAUCGGUGAAAUGCAUAGAUAUGACGAAGAACACCGAUUGCGUAGGCAGCUGACCAGACCGCAAAUGACGCUCAUGCACGAAAGUGCGGGGAUCGAACAGGAUUAGAUACCCUGGUAGUCCGCACAGUAAACGAUGAAUACUUGUUUUCGGCGAUAUAAUGUCGGAGGCAAAGCGAAAGCGAUAAGUAUUCCACCUGGGGAGUACGCCGGCAACGGUGAAACUCAAAUGAAUUGACGGGG
rnacentral:rRNA from 1 species